rnacentral:rRNA from 1 species
AUUGAACGCUGGCGGCAUGCCUUACACAUGCAAGUCGAACGGCAGCACGGGAGCAAUCCUGGUGGCGAGUGGCGAACGGGUGAGUAAUGUAUCGGAACGUACCUUUCAGUGGGGGAUAACGUAGCGAAAGUUACGCUAAUACCGCAUAUUCUGUGAGCAGGAAAGCAGGGGAUCGCAAGACCUUGCGCUGAUUGAGCGGCCGAUAUCAGAUUAGCUAGUUGGUGAGGUAAAGGCUCACCAAGGCGACGAUCUGUAGCGGGUCUGAGAGGAUGAUCCGCCACACUGGAACUGAGACACGGUCCAGACUCCUACGGGAGGCAGCAGUGGGGAAUUUUGGACAAUGGGCGCAGGCCUGAUCCAGCCAUGCCGCGUGAGUGAAGAAGG